rnacentral:rRNA from 1 species
AUGUACCUUGCAAAUUGCACCAGGCCUGAUAUUGCAUUUGCGGUAAAUUUACUAGCUAGACAUAGCUCAGCUCCAACAAAACGUCAUUGGACGGGAGUAAAGAAUAUCCUUAGAUAUUUACAUGGCACAAAAGAUCUUGGUUUAUUCUAUCAGAAAAACCAAGAUAUGACUAUGGUAGGAUAUACUGACGCUGGCUAUCUAUCUGAUCCUCACAACGCCAGGUCACAGACAGGUUUUGUAUUCUUAUAUGGUGGAACUGCUUUUCCAUGGAAGUCAACAAAACAGACUCUUGUAGCAACUUUCACUAAUCAUUCUGAAAUUAUUGCAUUAUUUGAAGCAUCAAAGGAAUGUGUAUGGCUUCGCAUGAUGAUUAACCACAUUCAAACUGCAUGUGGUGUUGGUUCAUUAGGAUCACCAACUAUUAUUUAUGAAGAUAAUGCAGCUUGUGUUGCUCAAAUGCAAAUGGGUUAUAUAAAAAGUAAUAUCACAAAACACAUUUCUCCUAAGUUGUUCUAUCCUCAUGCAUUACAGAAAAAUGGAGAAAUUGGUAUUUUGCAAACUAAAUCAUGUGACAAUCUAGCAGAUUUGUUCACAAAGUCUUUACCAAAUUCAACAUUCCAGAAAUGCAUUCAUGGAAUUGGUAUGAGACGACUUCGAGAUUUGCAAAGUUUGGGGGGAGAAAUCUCCUGA